GGAAUAUUGCACAAUGGGCGAAAGCCUGAUGCAGCGACGCCGCGUGAGGGAUGACGGCCUUCGGGUUGUAAACCUCUUUCAGCAGGGACGAAGCGCAAGUGACGGUACCUGCAGAAGAAGCACCGGCUAACUACGUGCCAGCAGCCGCGGUAAUACGUAGGGUGCAAGCGUUGUCCGGAAUUACUGGGCGUAAAGAGUUCGUAGGCGGUUUGUCGCGUCGUUUGUGAAAACCAGCAGCUCAACUGCUGGCUUGCAGGCGAUACGGGCAGACUUGAGUACUGCAGGGGAGACUGGAAUUCCUGGUGUAGCGGUGAAAUGCGCAGAUAUCAGGAGGAACACCGGUGGCGAAGGCGGGUCUCUGGGCAGUAACUGACGCUGAGGAACGAAAGCGUGGGUAGCGAACAGGAUUAGAUACCCUUG
rnacentral:rRNA from 1 species